GCCCUCAUAGCUCAGUGGAUAGAGCACGAGCCUCCGGAGCUCGGGACCGAGGUUCAACUCCUCGUGAGGGCA
rnacentral:tRNA from 1 species